UUGUUUGAGGAUCGAUUUGACUGAUUGCAACCUCUUUAAAAAAAUGCUAAAGCAGACAUU
rfam:Marine metagenome 1095403399844, whole genome shotgun sequence.